rnacentral:tRNA from 5 species
GCGGGAGUAGUUCAAUGGUAGAACCUUAGCCUUCCAAGCUAAUGACGCGGGUUCGAUUCCCGCUUCCCGCUCCA